UUGAACAACAGUUGGAUAUGGUCAGUCAGUCGCAAGAGAUAUAUGAGAACUUUUCUGAAGAAAUGGGCAAUGGCCUCUGUUGCCCUUGGCCAAUCGAAAGUAUCACACAGGCCUGUGGCAGAUAUUGACACUAUGUGAAUACUGACUGCCCAGUGCUUUGAAUGUCAAAGUGAAGAAAUUCAAUGAAGCAUGGGUAAAUGGCCAUAGUGAGUAUGACUCUCUUAAUGUAGUCAAAUGCCUCAUCAUCUAACUAGUGACAUGGAAAAUAUAUUCCUACUGUCCAUACCUAUGAUCCAGCAAAUCCAGAGCCAAGGGAAUGAAUGGGCUUGGUUAAAUCAUCAGUGAAAGAAGACCCUGUUGCGCUUGAAUCUAGUCUGGAAUGCUGAAGAGACCUGAGAAGUAUAGAAUAAUGGAGGCCCCCGGUACCUCCCUGUUCCCUGCCAGUUGUUGGGGCAGUGUCUGCCAGCCUUGCAGGCCACUGGUGAAUUACCACUACCUUCCCCAUGAUUUCACUGACCCAGUGAGUGGGAGGUCAAGCCCCCAAGGUUCUCUUGCGUCUAGUGCCAAGCAUUCUUCUGCUAGUGCAGGUAGGUGACCCAUUCUGGGGACAGUGCCAUGUGGUGAGUUUGAAUGGGGUGGUAAACCUGUUAAAGAGUAAAGCUGGUGCUGUAAUGCAAGCUCAAGAAGGUCAGAAAUCCAGAGCAGAGUGCUUAAAGCUUGAUUGAUCUUGAUUUUCAGCACACAUACAGACUGUGAAAGCAGGGCCUCAUGAUCCUUCUGACCUUUUAGGUUUUGAGCAGGAUGGGUUAGAAAAGUUACCACAGUGUUAUAGGAGUCACAGGUUCAGACAUUUGGUGUAUGUGCUUAGCUGAGGUGCCAAUGGGGUGAAGUUACCAUCUGGGGGACUCUGACUGAAUGCCUCUUAAGUCAGAUUUCCACCCAGGCAGAAAGCUGAGCCAGUGCCAAAGGAGCCUGUUAGCCCCAGAGAGCCAAGCUGUGUCCUCCCUGUUCCUGCCGUUCCUGCUGGAAGUCUCUUUGCACUCCCAUGUGUCAAGCAGGUUCCCUACCCUGUGUAUGGAUUGGGGUCCGAUGCAGAGAGACAUUGUUCCUGAGAAACCUGGUGCUCCCAGAAUGGGAGCCACCUUCCUGCUUGUCACACUAAUGUGUGUUCUUGUGGAACCUGGAACUAAGCUACUCACAGCCAUCCUGAUUCUGGGUUGGGGUUUUAUAUAUAGCAGAGCAGCUUCCUCCUUGUGAUCUAUUGAAAUUCAGCCCUCUACACAAGGAUUU
rnacentral:ncRNA from 1 species